CGAGUGCGGCUCUCUGACCGAGCGCUCCCCAACGUCGCCCCAGUCUUAGGAUUUUCUGGUUGUUGAUAACUUUUAAACAAGCGCGUUCUUUCGGAGUCCCUGCUGGGUUUGGAGUAGAGACACUGACCAACUAACGUGAACUUUAUUCAGUCCUUCAAGAGUUUGCAGUUUGGGGAGAAAAAGAGAUGAGGAGAAAUACACACUCACUAGCAGAUUCGCAGGUGUUCAGUGGGUGGAGAGUCCAAAGUUAGGCGUGGUGUUACAAAGGCUUGAGAAAGGUGAACUGUGACGGUAAGGGGAAGGUAGAGAAGGGAAUACUGUUCCGUUUUUAUGUUAAAUUCGUUAUUCGAUCCGGACCUGUCUCAACACUCAUUAAAACUCUCUUAAUAAUAUCUGGGGAGAAUCGGUGCUUUUUCUGGGUGAGAACUAACUACUUGCUAAGAUCUGUCUCCACAUAGAAGUGGAUUCAGAGUAUAACGAUCUGCGUUCGAUCCCUGAAACCCACAUCGUGGAAGGACAGAAUGGGUUUCUGGAAGUUACUUUCUGACCUUCACACUCAAGCUAUGGCAUGCAAGUAAAUAAAUGCCUCCCUCCAGAAAAAUAGGAAGGUUACAGAGAUGGGAUAGAUGCUGGCAAAGCAGUAACCCUUCAACAGGGCUUCAAUCAAGGCUAUAAAGAGGGUGCCGAUGUCAUUUUAAACUACGGACUACUCAGGGGA
rnacentral:lncRNA from 1 species